GAACUCAGGACCUCUCCUUUAUCUUCUUUGUGCAAAUCUUCUACCAAAUAAACUAUUAUGUUCAUUCAAUAUAAAAUAGAAUCCAAAUAGUAAUAUGCAAAUGAAAAUUUGAUUUUCAUUUUUGACACUUUUACAAAUGAUACCAUAUUUUUUGUUAUCUAUUUUUUUCUUCUUUAUAAAUGCAUAAAAAUAUUAUUUAUCUAAAAACUUAAAAUAAUUUUAAAAGUGUAAUUUAUUUAUUAUUUUUCUUUAUAAAACUGAAGAAGGU
rnacentral:lncRNA from 1 species